rnacentral:rRNA from 1 species
CUACGGGAGGCUGCAGUGGGGAAUAUUGCACAAUGGGCGCAAGCCUGAUGCAGCCAUGCCGCGUGUAUGAAGAAGGCCUUCGGGUUGUAAAGUACUUUCAGCGGGGAGGAAGGGAGUAAAGUUAAUACCUUUGCUCAUUGACGUUACCCGCAGAAGAAGCACCGGCUAACUCCGUGCCAGCAGCCGCGGUAAUACGGAGGGUGCAAGCGUUAAUCGGAAUUACUGGGCGUAAAGCGCACGCAGGCGGUUUGUUAAGUCAGAUGUGAAAUCCCCGGGCUCAACCUGGGAACUGCAUCGGAUACUGGAAAGCUGGAGUCUCGUAGAGGGGGGUAGAAUUCCAGGUGUAGCGGUGAAAUGCGUAGAGAUCUGGAGGAAUACCGGUGGCGAAGGCGGCCCCCUGGACGAAGACUGACGCUCAGGUGCGAAAGCGUGGGGAGCAAACAGGAUUAGAUACCCCAGUAGUC